ACAUCAACAGGAUAUGGGGUUUCAGGAUGAGCCUUGAAUCGCAUGAAAUGAAUUAAACCUCACAACUCCUUGGAACAGGAACCUGUUUUCAUAUGUGUACAUGGUUUUCACAAUGUGGCGAACUAAGUUGGACAUGAUACUCUGAUAAGGGUCUGACUGCUGCAGAGUGUAUUGGAACCACUGGGCUAGGAUUCAGAAAGAUUCUAGCUCCUUGACUGCCAGGAGCCAGUGGUUUGAUCUUGGACAAGCCACUUCCCCUGUCUGGACUUCAUGCUCUUCAUCACUAAAGUGAGAGACUUACAAACCCCAGUGACUAUGUUGCUGGAAGGACUGAGCUGACUUUCGAAAGUGAGAGUGGCAAGCGGUCCUUAACAUCUCUGGUCUUUAACAACUCCCAUGGAGACCUCUGGCCUGGGGCAGUGGAAGAACCACAGACCUGGAACCAGAGGGCCUGGGCUUCUACCCCAGAGAUUCUUUACCCAUGGUUUCUUAGGUUUAUGAACAAUGAAGCUGAAAGAAGUUCCUUUCCUUUCUGGGUGAGCCCCUGGGUUUCUGGAAGAUCCUUAAAAUCUUAAAAUGGCUUCUGAGCACUGAAGCCCAAGCUGUUAGCUGACCUGUGUGAGGCCAUGAGACAGAAUGCCACAGCCACACCCCAAGGAUGCUGAAGGGGAUUUCCCUCUUCUGUGGUUUUUCUCCUUUCUCCUCGCGGGGCUCCUCCUACAUGGUGAGUCAUCCAGAACUGCAAACACACAGCCAGCUGUUUGGAAUACAAGAAAUAACUGCAGCCAGAGGCAUCUUGGGUCCAAGC